UCGAUGUCCAAAAUGUCAGUUCGUACUGUGAGCGGAGGUGAUGACCCUCAAGUUUUCGUCAAUGAUAGUUGUGAAACACGUGAGAUACCUGUCUCCUGAACUUCAUGGAAAGGGACCUGGCAAAAAUAAAGUGGAGAAACAAAUGAAAACUGAACAGGAGGGAUUGAUGAAACAGAUGAGCUCAACGAUAGCCUCUUUCA